rnacentral:rRNA from 1 species
CACGUAGGGCGCAAGCGUUGUCCGGAAUUAUUGGGCGUAAAGAGCUCGUAGGCGGUUUGUCACGUCGGAUGUGAAAGCCCGGGGCUUAACCCCGGGUCUGCAUUCGAUACGGGCAGACUGGAGUGUGGUAGGGGAGAUCGGAAUUCCUGGUGUAGCGGUGAAAUGCGCAGAUAUCAGGAGGAACACCGGUGGCGAAGGCGGAUCUCUGGGCCAUUACUGACGCUGAGGAGCGAAAGCGUGGGGAGCGAACAGG